GGCUAUCUGGUCGAUCCGCAAACCUCGGACACCGUGCAGAGCGUGUUGAAAUCGCAGGCGUCUUUGCGAUCGAUUGCAAGCGUCGUGAAUGUCGAGGCAACAUCCUAUGACGUGCUCGUCGAUCACACCGAGGUUGGUACCGGCUGGGCCAGUGAGACCGGCUCGAUCACCGAGACCGACACCCCGCAGAUCGAUCGUAUCUCGAUCCCGCUGCACGAAUUAUCGGCGCUACCGAAGGCCUCGCGGCGUUUGCUCGACGACAGUGCCUUUGACGUCGAAGGCUGGCUCGCGAGCCGGAUUGCCGACAAGUUUGCGCGCGCCGAGGCCGCCGCUUUUGUUUCCGGCGACGGGGCUGACAAGCCGACUGGUAUUCUGAACCACGCGGCCGUGGCCGAUGCAUCAUGGAGCUGGGGCAGCCUCGGCUAUGUCGUCACCGGCGUCGAUGGCGACUUCAACGCGGCCGCGCCUGCCGACGCCAUCGUCGAUCUGGUUUACGCGCUGGGUGCGCGCUACCGCGCCAAUGGCACCUUCGUGAUGAACUCGAAGACCGCGGGGGUCGUACGCAAGAUCAAGGACGCGGACGGGCGUUUCCUGUGGUCGGACGGUCUCGCUGCUGGUGAGCCGGCGCGCUUGCUUGGCUACCCGGUGCUGGUGCUUGAGGACAUGCCGGACAUCGGGUCGGGUACCUCGGCCAUCGCCUUCGGUGAUUUCGCCUCAGGCUACACCGUCGCUGAGCGUCCGGACCUGCGCAUUCUGCGCGAUCCCUUCUCGGCCAAACCGCACGUCCUGUUCUAA
rnacentral:rRNA from 1 species